rnacentral:rRNA from 1 species
ACGUAGGGAGCAAGCGUUAUCCGGAUUUAUUGGGUGUAAAGGGUGCGUAGGCGGGAAGGCAAGUUGAAUGUGAAAUACCGGGGCUCAACUCCGGGGCUGCGUUCAAAACUGUUUUUCUUGAGUACAGCAGAGGCAAGCGGAAUUCCCAGUGUAGCGGUAAUAUGCGUAGAUAUUGGGAGGAACACCGGUGGCGAAGGCGGCUUGCUGGGCUGCAACUGACGCUGAAGCACGAAAGUGUGGGGAGCAAACAG